rnacentral:rRNA from 1 species
CUUGGUCAUUUAGAGGAAGUAAAAGUCGUAACAAGGUCUCCGUAGGUGAACCUGCGGAGGGAUCAUUACACAAAUAUGAAGGCGGGCUGGAACCUCUCGGGGUUACAGCCUUGCUGAAUUAUUCACCCUUGUCUUUUGCGUACUUCUUGUUUCCUUGGUGGGUUCGCCCACCACUAGGACAAACAUAAACCUUUUGUAAUUGCAAUCAGCGUCAGUAACAAAUUAAUAAUUACAACUUUCAACAACGGAUCUCUUGGUUCUGGCAUCGAUGAAGAACGCAGCGAAAUGCGAUACGUAGUGUGAAUUGCAGAAUUCAGUGAAUCAUCGAAUCUUUGAACGCACAUUGCGCCCUUUGGUAUUCCAAAGGGCAUGCCUGUUCGAGCGUCAUUUGUACCCUCAAGCUUUGCUUGGUGUUGGGCGUUUUUGUCCCCCCCAAAAGGGGGACUCGCCUUAAAAGGAUUGGCAGCCGGCCUACUGGUUUCGCAGCGCAGCACAUUUUUGCGCUUGCAAUCAGCAAAAGAGGACGGCAAUCCAUCAAGACUCCUUCUCACGUUUGACCUCGGAUCAGGUAGGGAUACCCGCUGAACUUAAGCAUAUCAAUAAGCGGAGGA